GCACGUCGAGGGGUAACAGGUUGCUUGCACCGCCUACGACCGGCGCACGGAUGCGUAACGCGUAUACAAUCUACCUUGUAGAGGGGGAUAGCCCAGAGAAAUUUGGAUUAAUACCCCAUAGUAUUAUGAAAUAGCAUUAUUUUAUAAUUAAACAUUUAUGGCUACAAGAUGAGUAUGCGUUCUAUUAGUUAGUAGGUAAGGUAACGGCUUACCAAGACGUCGAUAGAUAGGGGUCCUGAGAGGGAGAUC
rnacentral:rRNA from 1 species